GCAUGGCAGAAUUCUGUGUUACUCCGUCUAUAGUAAAUGCAGUCAGACACCAUGCAACAUCAACACUCACUCUGCUUCUGAAUAGUGAUAAAACUCACUCAAAGUCUCAUCACACAUGCAAGAGUGAGCACAU